ACCACACAACAAUUUUCAAACAAAAAGAGAACAAUAACCCUCCUUGUACCUAUCUACAUACCUCCAUCUUAUCUACGUUACGAUUGAUUUAAUCUCAUUAUGCAAAGAAAAAACAAACAUCUCGCUUGUUAUAUCUCAAUAUUUUACCUCCUUUUAUGAGAUGAACUAACGCACUAAUUAGUAAUGAACACAAUAAUUCAAAUCGCAUCCCCUCCCCACCUUUUUAUUACUUUGUAUGUUUGUAAAUAUCUUAGAGACAACUCAAGUCAUAUUUUUGUUGUUAUUAAAAUCACAACAAAGAGGAAAUGACAUUGGAUGAUACAGAGUCAAUAAAAAAAAGGAAUUGUUAUCGAUACUAAAUUUAUAAAUUUAGAUUACAAUGUUUGAAACUGAUAGCAUUGCCCUCUAAGCCGUUUUAACUGAGUCGCUGAUUGCUUGCUGGCUAAGAUUAAGUGACUCAUACACCUGAUUACCUGCUGCAAAAAUAAUACACAAUACGUUGUCGUUUGUCUUCAGGAAACGCAAACAGGAGCGAGGAACAGGGGAAAAGCAUAUAAUCGCAGCUACAGCUACAGCCACAGCCACUGCUGCCUGUCACUGCUUCAGCUUCAGCUUUUGCCACUGUGCCUUGCUGUGCCGUGCCGUUUGCUGAUUGCUUCUGCUGCUGCUGUUAAUUGGUGAAAAACAACGACAUCAAAGGCGACGACCCACUCGGAGACCUCGGUUUCGGUAUUUUUUCUCAUUAAUUGACGAUGGAGCUCAGAGCUGAGUUGACUUUCUUUUGUUGUCUCGUUUUGGAAAAUUAGAAAAAUUUCCUUCGUCACUUUGCACUUUUUUUCUUGUCAUUUUUAAUUUUUCUUUGUGAAACAAGCAAAACGAAAA